rnacentral:rRNA from 1 species
AGUGGCGGACGGGUGAGUAACGCGUAGGAAUCUACCAAGUAGUGGGGGACAACAGUUGGAAACGACUGCUAAUACCGCAUAAUCCCUGAGGGGCAAAGGAGGGGAUCUGUUUACGGAUCGCUAUUUGAUGAGCCUGCGUGAGAUUAGCUAGUUGGUGAGGUAAUGGCUCACCAAGGCGACGAUCUCUAGCUGGUCUGAGAGGGUGAUCAGCCACACUGGAACUGAGACACGGUCCAGACUCCUACGGGAGGCAGCAGUGGGGAAUAUUGCACAAUGGGGGAAACCCUGAUGCAGCCAUGCCGCGUGUGUGAAGAAGGCCUUCGGGUUGUAAAGCACUUUCAGCGAGGAGGAAAGGAGUCGGUUUAAUAAACCUGCUCUGUGACGUUACUCGCAGAAGAAG